CUAACCUACCCUCGAGUGGGGUUUAACUCCGGGAAACCGGAGCUAAUAUCGCAUAACAU
rnacentral:rRNA from 1 species